AUUGAACGCUGGCGGCAGGCUUAACACAUGCAAGUCGAACGAGUGGCGGACGGGUGAGUAAUGCGUGGGAAACUGGCUGAUGGAGGGGGAUAACGACGGGAAACUGUCGCUAAUACCGCGUACCAUCGGAUGAGCCCAAGUGGGAUUAGGUAGUUGGUGGGGUAAUGGCCUACCAAGCCGACGAUCCCUAGCUGGUCUGAGAGGAUGACCAGCAAAACGGGGACUGAGACACGGCCCGGACUCCUACGGGAGGCAGCAGUGGGGAAUAUGGCGCAAUGGGGGCAACCUGACGCAGCAAUGCCGCGUGAAUGAAGAAGGCCUUCGGGUUGUAAAGUUCUUUCGGUGACGAGGCGUUAAUCACAGAAGAAGCACCGGCUAACUCCGUGCCAGCAGCCGCGGUAAUAC
rnacentral:rRNA from 1 species